rnacentral:misc_RNA from 1 species
UACGGAGGACUCAAGCGUUACCCGGAGUGACUGGGCGUAAAGAGUUGCGUAGGCGGCUUAUUAAGUGGAUAGUGAAACCUGGUGGCUCAACCAUACAGACUAUUAUCCAAACUGGUAAGCUCGAGAAUGGUAGAGGUAAUUGGAAUUUCUAGUGUAGGAGUGAAAUCCGUAGAUAUUAGAAGGAACACCGAUGGCGUAGGCAGAUUACUGGACCAUUUCCGACGCUAAGGCACGAAAGCGUGGGGAGCGAACCGG